rnacentral:rRNA from 1 species
GACGAACGCUGGCGGCGUGCCUAAUACAUGCAAGUUGAGCGCUGAAGGUUGGUACUUGUACCAACUGGAUGAGCAGCGAACGGGUGAGUAACGCGUGGGGAAUCUGCCUUUGAGCGGGGGACAACAUUUGGAAACGAAUGCUAAUACCGCAUAAAAACUUUAAACACAAGUUUUAAGUUUGAAAGAUGCAAUUGCAUCACUCAAAGAUGAUCCCGCGUUGUAUUAGCUAGUUGGUGAGGUAAAGGCUCACCAAGGCGAUGAUACAUAGCCGACCUGAGAGGGUGAUCGGCCACAUUGGGACUGAGACACGGCCCAAACUCCUACGGGAGGCAGCAGUAGGGAAUCUUCGGGCAAUGGACGAAAAGUCUGACCGAGCAACGCCGCGUGAGUGAAGAAAGGUUUUCGGAUCGUAAAAACUUCUGG